rnacentral:rRNA from 1 species
GGGUUGUGAGGUUAAGCGACUAAGCGUACACGGUGGAUGCCCUGGCAGUCAGAGGCGAUGAAGGACGUGCUAAUCUGCGAAAAGCGUCGGUAAGGUGAUAUGAACCGUUAUAGCCGGCGAUGUCCGAAUGGGGAAACCCAGUGCAAUUCGUUGCACUAUCGUUAACUGAAUACAUAGGUUAACGAGGCGAACCGGGGGAACUGAAACAUCUAAGUACCCCGAGGAAAAGAAAUCAACCGAGAUUCCCCCAGUAGCGGCGAGCGAACGGGGAGCAGCCCAGAGUCUGAAUCAGCUUGUGUGUUAGUGGAACGGUCUGGAAAGUCCGACGGUACAGGGUGAUAGUCCCGUACACCAAAAUGCACAGGUUGUGAACUCGAAGAGUAGGGCGGGACACGUGGUAUCCUGUCUGAAUAUGGGGGGACCAUCCUCCAAGGCUAAAUACUCCUGACUGACCGAUAGUGAACCAGUACCGUGAGGGAAAGGCGAAAAGAACCCCGGCGAGGGGAGUGAAAAAGAACCUGAAACCGUGUACGUACAAGCAGUGGGAGCACCUUCGGGUGUGACUGCGUACCUUUUGUAUAAUGGGUCAGCGACUUAUAUUCUGUAGCAAGGUUAACCGUAUAGGGGAGCCGCAGGGAAACCGAGUCUUAACUGGGCGUUAAGUUGCAGGGUAUAGACCCGAAACCCGGUGAUCUAGCCAUGAGCAGGUUGAAGGUUGGGUAACACUAACUGGAGGACCGAACCGACUAAUGUUGAAAAAUUAGCGGAUGACUUGUGGCUGGGGGUGAAAGGCCAAUCAAACCGGGAGAUAGCUGGUUCUCCCCGAAAGCUAUUUAGGUAGCGCCUCGUGAAUUCAUCUUCGGGGGUAGAGCACUGUUUCGGCUAGGGGGUCAUCCCGACUUACCAACCCGAUGCAAACUACGAAUACCGAAGAAUGUUAUCACGGGAGACACACGGCGGGUGCUAACGUCCGUCGUGAAGAGGGAAACAACCCAGACCGCCAGCUAAGGUCCCAAAGUCAUGGUUAAGUGGGAAACGAUGUGGGAAGGCACAGACAGCCAGGAUGUUGGCUUAGAAGCAGCCAUCAUUUAAAGAAAGCGUAAUAGCUCACUGGUCGAGUCGGCCUGCGCGGAAGAUGUAACGGGGCUAAACCAUGCACCGAAGCUGCGGCAGCGACACUAUGUGUUGUUGGGUAGGGGAGCGUUCUGUAAGCCUGCGAAGGUGUGCUGUGAGGCAUGCUGGAGGUAUCAGAAGUGCGAAUGCUGACAUAAGUAACGAUAAAGCGGGUGAAAAGCCCGCUCGCCGGAAGACCAAGGGUUCCUGUCCAACGUUAAUCGGGGCAGGGUGAGUCGACCCCUAAGGCGAGGCCGAAAGGCGUAGUCGAUGGGAAACAGGUUAAUAUUCCUGUACUUGGUGUUACUGCGAAGGGGGGACGGAGAAGGCUAUGUUAGCCGGGCGACGGUUGUCCCGGUUUAAGCAUGUAGGCUGGUUAUCCAGGCAAAUCCGGAUAAUCAAGGCUGAGGUGUGAUGACGAGGCACUACGGUGCUGAAGUAACAAAUGCCCUGCUUCCAGGAAAAGCCUCUAAGCAUCAGGUAACAUCAAAUCGUACCCCAAACCGACACAGGUGGUCAGGUAGAGAAUACCAAGGCGCUUGAGAGAACUCGGGUGAAGGAACUAGGCAAAAUGGUGCCGUAACUUCGGGAGAAGGCACGCUGGUGUGUAGGUGAAGUCCCUGCGGAUGGAGCUGAGACCAGUCGAAGAUACCAGCUGGCUGCAACUGUUUAUUAAAAACACAGCACUGUGCAAACACGAAAGUGGACGUAUACGGUGUGACGCCUGCCCGGUGCCGGAAGGUUAAUUGAUGGGGUUAUCCGUAAGGAGAAGCUCUUGAUCGAAGCCCCGGUAAACGGCGGCCGUAACUAUAACGGUCCUAAGGUAGCGAAAUUCCUUGUCGGGUAAGUUCCGACCUGCACGAAUGGCGUAAUGAUGGCCAGGCUGUCUCCACCCGAGACUCAGUGAAAUUGAACUCGCUGUGAAGAUGCAGUGUACCCGCGGCAAGACGGAAAGACCCCGUGAACCUUUACUAUAGCUUGACACUGAACAUUGAGCCUUGAUGUGUAGGAUAGGUGGGAGGCUUUGAAGCGUGGACGCCAGUCUGCGUGGAGCCAACCUUGAAAUACCACCCUUUAAUGUUUGAUGUUCUAACGUUGGCCCCUGACCGGGGUUGCGGACAGUGUCUGGUGGGUAGUUUGACUGGGGCGGUCUCCUCCCAAAGCGUAACGGAGGAGCACGAAGGUUAGCUAAUCCUGGUCGGACAUCAGGAGGUUAGUGCAAUGGCAUAAGCUAGCUUGACUGCGAGCGUGACGGCGCGAGCAGGUGCGAAAGCAGGUCAUAGUGAUCCGGUGGUUCUGAAUGGAAGGGCCAUCGCUCAACGGAUAAAAGGUACUCCGGGGAUAACAGGCUGAUACCGCCCAAGAGUUCAUAUCGACGGCGGUGUUUGGCACCUCGAUGUCGGCUCAUCACAUCCUGGGGCUGAAGUAGGUCCCAAGGGUAUGGCUGUUCGCCAUUUAAAGUGGUACGCGAGCUGGGUUUAGAACGUCGUGAGACAGUUCGGUCCCUAUCUGCCGUGGGCGCUGGAGAAUUGAGGGGGGCUGCUCCUAGUACGAGAGGACCGGAGUGGACGCAUCACUGGUGUUCGGGUUGUCAUGCCAAUGGCACUGCCCGGUAGCUAAAUGCGGAAGAGAUAAGUGCUGAAAGCAUCUAAGCACGAAACUUGCCCCGAGAUGAGUUCUCCCUGAGACUUUAAGUCUCCUGAAGGAACGUUGAAGACGACGACGUUGAUAGGCCGGGUGUGUAAGCGCAGCGAUGCGUUGAGCUAACCGGUACUAAUGAACCGUGAGGCUUAACCUUACAACGCCGAAG